AUACGUAGGUGGCGAGCGUUGUCCGGAGUUACUGGGCGUAAAGGGUGCGUAGGCGGAUAAUCAAGUCAGAUGUGAAAGUCCAUGGCAUAACUGUGGGAGUGCAUUUGAGACUGAAGAUCUAGAGUGCAGGAGAGGGGAGCGGAAUUCCUAGUGUAGCGGUGAAAUGCGUAGAUAUUAGGAAGAACACCAGUGGCGAAGGCGGCUUUCUGGACUGUAACUGACGCUGAAGCACGAAAGCGUGGGGAGCAAACAGGAUUAGAUACCCUGGUAGUCCACGCCGUAAACGAUGAGUAUUAGGUGUAGGGGACGAUAGUCUUCUGUGCCGGAGCAAACGCAAUAAAUACUCCGCCUGGGGAGUACGGUCACAAGACUAAA
rnacentral:rRNA from 1 species